rnacentral:rRNA from 1 species
UACGUAGGGGGCAAGCGUUGUCCGGAAUCAUUGGGCGUAAAGAGCGUGUAGGCGGCCAUGUAGGUCCGGUGUGAAAACUCGAGGCUUAACCUCGAGAUGUCAUCGGAAACCAUUUGGCUGGAGUCCGGAAGAGGAGAGUGGAAUUCCUGGUGUAGCGGUGAAAUGCGCAGAUAUCAGGAAGAACACCAAUGGCGAAAGCAGCUCUCUGGGACGGUACUGACGCUGAGACGCGAAAGCGUGGGGAGCGAACAGG